rnacentral:rRNA from 1 species
CAUUUAGUCCGGCAGUCAGACUACGAAUGAUAAGAUCCGUGGUCAAAAGGGAAACAGCCCAGAUCGUCAGCUAAGGUCCCAAAGUGUAAGUUAAGUGGAAAAGGAUGUGGGAUUUCUAAGACAACUAGGAUGUUGGCUUAGAAGCAGCCACUCAUUUAAAGAGUGCGUAAUAGCUCACUAGUCGAGAGAUCCUGCGCCGAAAAUGUCCGGGGCUCAAACUUACCACCGAAGCUACGGGCUUGCGUAAGCAAGCGGUAGGGGAGCGUCGUAAUCGGGCUGAAGUCGUACCGUAAGGAGCGGUGGACUGAUUACGAGUGAGAAUGUUGGCAUUAGUAGCGAGAUGUAGGUGAGAAUCCUACAGGCCGAAUAUCUAAGGUUUCCUCAGGAAGGCUCGUCCGCUGAGGGUUAGUCGGGACCUAAGCCGAGGCCGAAAGGCGUAGGCGAUGGACAAUCGGUUGAUAUUCCGAUACCACUACCAUCGUUAUUAUCGAGGGUGUGACGGAGAAGGAUAGUGUGUGCUAGCGAUUGGAAAUGCUAGUCUAAGCGUUUAGGGAGUUACGGUAGGCAAAUCCGCUGUAACAAUUCUGAGGCGUGAUGGGGAAGGCCAUAUAGGCCGAAGUACAUGAUUCCAUGCUUCCAAGAAAAGCAUCUAGAGAGAGAAGUAGUGCCCGUACCGCAAACCGACACAGGUAGAUGAGGAGAGAAUCCUAAGGCCGGCGGAAGAAUUGCAGUUAAGGAACUAGGCAAAUUGACCCCGUAAGUUCGGGAGAAGGGGUGCCUGCGAGAGCAGGCCGCAGAGAAUAGGCCCAAGCAACUGUUUAGCAAAAACACAGGUCUCUGCUAAAGCGUAAGCUGAUGUAUAGGGGCUGACGCCUGCCCGGUGCUGGAAGGUUAAGGGGAACACUUAGCGCAAGCGAAGGUGUGAACUUAAGCCCCAGUAAACGGCGGCCGUAACUAUAACGGUCCUAAGGUAGCGAAAUUCCUUGUCAGGUAAGUUCUGACCCGCACGAAUGGCGUAAUGACUUGGGCACUGUCUCAACUGCAAAUCCGGCGAAGUUGUAGUGCGAGUGAAGAUGCUCGCUACCCGCGAUUGGACGGAAAGACCCCGUAGAGCUUUACUGUAGCUUAGCAUUGAAUUCCGGUAUUGUCUGUACAGGAUAGGUGGGAGACUGGGAAACUAGGGCGUCAGCCUUAGUGGAGUCAACCUUGGGAUACCACCCUGACAGUACUGGGGUUCUAACAGGAGGCCAUGAAUCUGGUGACUGGACACUGUUAGGUGGGCAGUUUGACUGGGGCGGUCGCCUC